rnacentral:rRNA from 1 species
GACAGAGGAGGCAACCGCUGUUAGGAAACAUUGGGCUGAAAGCGCGCGUAGGCGGCCUUGUAAGUGUCUUGUGAUAUCCCACGGCUCACCCGUGGAACUGCAGGGCAAACUGCAAGACUUGAGGUCGGUAGAGGCGCCUGGAACUCUAGGUGGAGCGGUGAAAUGCGUAGAUAUCUAGGGGAACGCCGGAGGCGAAAGCGGGGCGCUGGGCCGAUUCUGACGCUGAUGCGCGAAAGCGUGGGGAUCAAACAGG